GAACGAACGCUGGCGGCAGGCCUAACACAUGCAAGUCGAACGAGAUCUUCGGAUCUAGUGGCGGACGGGUGAGUAACGCGUGGGAACGUGCCCUUCUCUACGGAAUAGUCCUGGGAAACUGGGUUUAAUACCGUAUACGCCUUCGGGGAAAGAAUUUCGGGAGGAUCGCCGCGUUGGAUAGUAGUGUGGGUAAUGCCUACCAAGCCGACGAUCCAUAGCUGGUUUGAGAGGAUGAUCAGCCACACUGGGACUGAGACACGGCCCAGACUCCUACGGGAGGCAGCAGUGGGGAAUCUUAGACAAGGGGGCAA
rnacentral:rRNA from 1 species